AGAGUUUGAUCAUGGCUCAGGAUGAACGCUGGCGGUGUGCCUUAGGCAUGCAAGUCGAACGAUAAACCUUCUUCGGAAGGUGGACAGUGGCAGACGGGUGAGUAACACGUGGGAACCUACCUCAAAAUGGGGAAUAGCCCUCCGAAAGGAGGAGUAAUACCGCAUGUGCCCGCAAGGGUAAAGACUUCGGUCGUUUUGAGAGGGGCCCGCGCCCUAUCAGGUAGUUGGUGAGGUAAUGGCUCACCAAGCCAAUGACGGGUAGCCGAUGUGAGAGCAUGAUCGGCCACAAGGUUACUGAGACACGGAACCUACACCUACGGGUGGCAGCAACCGGGAAUAUUGCGCAAUGGACGAAAGUCUGACGCAGCGACACCGCGUGUGGGAAGAAGCUUUUCGGAGUGUAAACCACUGUGGCAGGGGAAGAAAUUUUGACGGUACCCUGCUAGAAAGCACCUGCUAACUACGUGCCAGAAGCCUCGGUAAUACGUAGGGUGCAAGCGUUAUCCGGAUUUAUUGGGCGUAAAGCGUCCGUCGGCGAUUUGAUAAGUCUCUUGUUUAAGGCCAGGGCUCAACUCUGGAAGAGCAAGAGAAACUAUUAAACUUGAGUAUGUGAGAGGUAGCUGGAAUUCUCGGUGGAGGGGUGAAAUCCGUAGAUAUCGAGAGGAACGCCGCGCGCGAAAGCAGGCUA
rnacentral:rRNA from 1 species